CAAGAAUAGAUUUACUUAUGAUAUUUCAAGGCUAGGUCUAAUCGACCUGCUCCGAUACCAACUGUAACCACUCGUAUAAUAUAUAUCUAGAAUAAUAUCAUACAAGUGUUAUCAUUUGGUACUGAUACAACAUAAGAGCCUAAAGGCAUCAUUUACAUACUUGACCAAAAUAAAAGAUACAACUUAUGGUACAAGAAAUGGAAAGUUCCUAAAUAAAAAUCUAAUAUCUAUGUACAAUAUCUACCAUUGCACAAAAUCCACAAUGGAAGAUCACAACAUCACAACAACGUCGAAACAUCAUCAAGCAGCUCCUCUUAAUCAAACCU
rnacentral:lncRNA from 1 species